rnacentral:rRNA from 1 species
UGCGUAGGCGGUUAAAUAAGUCAGAGGUGAGAGCCCGCAGCUCAACUGUGGAAUUGCCUUUGAUACUGUAUAACUUGAAUCAGGUUGAGGUUGGCGGAAUGUGACAUGUAGCGGUGAAAUGCAUAGAUAUGUCAUAGAACACCAAUUGCGAAGGCAGCUAACUAGACCUGUAUUGACGCUGAGGCACGAAAGCGUGGGGAGCGAACAGGAUUAGAUACCCUGGUAGUCC